GCCUCUGUAGCUCAACGGCCUAGAGCAUCAGUUUUGUAAACUGGGGGUUGGGGGUUCGAUUCCCUCCAGAGGCU
rnacentral:tRNA from 1 species